rnacentral:lncRNA from 1 species
CGCAGUAGAGCGGACGUAAGAGAAUCGCGCUUCGCAGAUUUCGAGUACCGUGUUCUUUACCUCCUAGAUCCUGCGCUCCGAGUCCGCUUUCUCGUGCAACUCGAGUUCCAGGACAAGCGUUGCGUAGUUUCUAUGCUCCAGGUCCGCUACCUGGUGAAACUCGACAUCAGGGACAUGCGGUCCAAAGUUCUGGCUGUCCACGUCCUUGACCUAGUGACUUUUGACCUUCAGGACUAAUUUUUCGUAGUUCUGACUGUCCUGGUUCUCCACCUGGUGGAUUUUGACAUCCAGGAAAAAGGAGGUAUGACCCGAGGUGGACAAGGAGGAGGACGCGAAGGACGAGGAGAACAAGGUGGACGAGGAAGACGAGGAUUUGUGCUCGGUAUAACCCAAAGUGGUUGGCGGUGGUUGGAGGUGGCCGGAGGUGGACGAGGAGGAGGACGAGGAAGGCGAGGAUUUUUGCUCGGUAUAACCCGAAGUGGUUGGCGGCG